rnacentral:rRNA from 1 species
GAUGAACGCUGGCGGCGUGCCUAAUACAUGCAAGUCGAGCGAACAGAUAAGGAGCUUGCUCCUUUGAAGUUAGCGGCGGACGGGUGAGUAACACGUGGGUAACCUACCUAUAAGACUGGGAUAACUUCGGGAAACCGGAGCUAAUACCGGAUAACAUUUAGAACCGCAUGGUUCUAAAGUGAAAGAUGGUUUUGCUAUCACUUAUAGAUGGACCCGCGCCGUAUUAGCUAGUUGGUAAGGUAACGGCUUACCAAGGCGACGAUACGUAGCCGACCUGAGAGGGUGAUCGGCCACACUGGAACUGAGACACGGUCCAGACUCCUACGGGAGGCAGCAGUAGGGAAUCUUCCGCAAUGGGCGAAAGCCUGACGGAGCAACGCCGCGUGAGUGAUGAAGGGUUUCGGCACGUAAAACUCUGUUAUUAGGGAAGAACAAAUGUGUAAGUAACUGUGCACAUCUUGACGGUACCUAAUCAGAAAGCCACGGCUAACUACGUGCCAGCAGCCGCGGUAAUACGUAGGUGGCAAGCGUUAUCCGGAAUUAUUGGGCGUAAAGCGCGCGUAGGCGGUUUCUUAAGUCUGAUGUGAAAGCCCACGGCUCAACCGUGGAGGGUCAUUGGAAACUGGGAAACUUGAGUGCAGAAGAGGAAAGUGGAAUUCCAUGUGUAGCGGUAAAUGCGCAGAGAUAUGGAGGAACACCAGUGGCGAAGGCGACUUUCUGGUCUGUAACUGACGCUGAUGUGCGAAAGCGUGGGGAUCAAACAGGAUUAGAUACCCUGGUAGUCCACGCCGUAAACGAUGAGUGCUAAGUGUUAGGGGGUUUCCGCCCCUUAGUGCUGCAGCUAACGCAUUAAGCACUCCGCCUGGGGAGUACGACCGCAAGGUUGAAACUCAAAGGAAUUGACGGGGACCCGCACAAGCGGUGGAGCAUGUGGUUUAAUUCGAAGCAACGCGAAGAACCUUACCAAAUCUUGACAUCCUUUGAAAACUCUAGAGAUAGAGCCUUCCCCUUCGGGGGACAAAGUGACAGGUGGUGCAUGGUUGUCGUCAGCUCGUGUCGUGAGAUGUUGGGUUAAGUCCCGCAACGAGCGCAACCCUUAAGCUUAGUUGCCAUCAUUAAGUUGGGCACUCUAGGUUGACUGCCGGUGACAAACCGGAGGAAGGUGGGGAUGACGUCAAAUCAUCAUGCCCCUUAUGAUUUGGGCUACACACGUGCUACAAUGGACAAUACAAAGGGCAGCUAAACCGCGAGGUCAUGCAAAUCCCAUAAAGUUGUUCUCAGUUCGGAUUGUAGUCUGCAACUCGACUACAUGAAGCUGGAAUCGCUAGUAAUCGUAGAUCAGCAUGCUACGGUGAAUACGUUCCCGGGUCU